AGUGAACGCUGGCGGCGUGCUUAACACAUGCAAGUCGAACGCGAAAGGGGAGCAAUCCCCGAGUAGAGUGGCGAACGGGUGAGUAAUGUGUGGGUAAUUUGCCUUUCAGCGGGGGAUAACCCGGGGAAACCUGAGCUAAUACCCCAUAACAUGACCUGGUCUUCGGAUCGAGUCAUCAAACGAUGGCCUCUGCUUGCAAGCUAUUGCUGGAAGAUGAGCCCACANCCUAUCACGCUUGUUGGUGGGUAAUGGCCUACCAAGGCGACGACGGGUAGCCGGCCUGAGAGGGUGUACGGCCACACUGGAACUGAGACACGGUCCAGACUCCUACGGGAGGCAGCAGUGGGGAAUUUUUCGCAAUGGGCGAAAGCCUGACGAAGCAACGCCGCGUGUAGGAUGAAGGCCCUA
rnacentral:rRNA from 1 species